rnacentral:rRNA from 1 species
AGCGAACGCUGGCGGCAGGCCUAACACAUGCGAGUCGAACGAACCUUUCGGGGUUAGUGGCGGACGGGUGAGUAACACGUGGGAACGUGCCUUUAGGUUCGGAAUAACUCAGGGAAACUUGUGCUAAUACCGAAUGUGCCCUUCGGGGGAAAGAUUUAUCCCCUUUAGAGCGGCCCGCGUCUGAUUAGCUAGUUGGUUGAGGUAAUGGCUCACCAAGGCGACGAUCAGUAGCUGGUCUGAGAGGAUGAUCAGCCACAUUGGGACUGAGACACGGCCCAAACUCCUACGGGAGGCAGCAGUGGGGAAUCUUGCGCAAUGGGCGAAAGCCUGACGCAGCCAUGCCGCGUGAAUGAUGAAGGUCUUAGGAUUGUAAAAUUCUUUCACCGGGGACGAUAAUGACGGUACCCGGAGAAGAAGCCCCGGCUAACUUCGUG